CCUACGGGAGGCAGCAGUGGGGAAUAUUGCACAAUGGGGGAAACCCUGAUGCAGCGACGCCGCGUGAGUGAAGACGGUCCUAUGGAUUGUAAACCUCUUUUGUCAGGGAGCAAAGGGCGCCACGUGUGGCGUUUUGCGAGUACCUGAAGAAAAAGCAUCGGCUAACUCCGUGCCAGCAGCCGCGGUAAUACGGAGGAUGCGAGCGUUAUCCGGAUUUAUUGGGUUGAAAGGGUGCGCAGGCGGAAUGUCAAGUCAGCGGUAAAAUUUCGGGGCUCAACCCCGUCGUGCCGUUGAAACUGGCGUUCUUGAGUGAGCGAGAAGUAUGCGGAAUGCGUGGUGUAGCGGUGAAAUGCAUAGAUAUCACGCAGAACUCCGAUUGCGAAGGCAGCAUACCGGCGCUCAACUGACGCUCAUGCACGAAAGCGUGGGUAUCGAACAGGAUUAGAUACCCUGGUAGUC
rnacentral:rRNA from 1 species